rnacentral:rRNA from 1 species
GACGAACGCUGGCGGCGUGCUUAACACAUGCAAGUCGAACGAAGUGGCGAACGGGUGAGUAACGCGUAAUCAACCUGCCCUUCAGAGGGGGACAACAGUUGGAAACGACUGCUAAUACCGAAUACCGAAGGAGGGGAUUGCGUCUGAUUAGCUAGUUGGAGGGGGAACGGCCCACCAAGGCGAUGAUCAGUAGCCGGUCUGAGAGGAUGAACUGCAACAUUGGGACUGAGACACGGCCCAGACUCCUACGGGAGGCAGCAGUGGGGAAUCUUCCGCAAUGGACGAAAGUCUGACGGAGCAACGCCGCGUGAGUGAUGACGGCCUUCGGGUUGGAAAGCUCUGUUAAUCGGGACGCGGUACCGGAAUAGAAAGCCACGGCUAACUACGUGCCAGCAGCCGCGGUAAUUC